AAUACCAAGUGCGCCAAUGCCGAAGUAAACCAACACUCUUUAAUGACCUGGUGAGCCAGUAUAUAACAUGGGUGCAGGAGCAGUUGAUCACUAUCUAGAGAGCGACAACUGCAUGGCAGUUGAAAUGGCCUUUGUUUUUGUCGUAGAUGUUGGCAACACUAGCACCAUCCCUGAUAAAAGCCAUGCUGCCAACAACAACACUAUUAUAUACAACACCUUUCACCAUUGUCACAUUCACAAGUCCAACAACAUCAUUGACGCCACUACCGAUGAGGGCCUCCAACUAGUGAUGCUGCCUCUGUCGUUUGGCCCACGAAAAGACAGUCUGAUGGAGAUGGAACCUGUGAGGAUCCUGGGUAAAUCCUUCAACCUGGGUGAAGAUGUUCGGAUCCAGAAUGUCCCCAAUGCAUAAAACAUGAGGUGCUGGAAGAUUGUCCUCCUCGUCUGGAUGUUGGCUGGUGAUGAACACUGCUUUUAGCAAUGGUUUUAUAAUUAACCAUGAUCCACGAGAAGCUUGGUGCAUCUACUGGACAUGCAGUGUGUGGUUCUGGGAAGAUGCUGGGCCUUGGUGAAAGUGUACGGCCAGAACUUUGUGUCUGGCGUCAUCCCGUUAAACCAUUCUGCGGAUCCGACAAGGCUAGGAAGCACAAGGCAUCCAUUCUGAUCAUAGUGGGUUCAUCAAUGCUGCUGACUUUCUCCUGCCAUGACGUAGGCUGGAUGGCACAUGGUUACCACCUUCAAGCAGCUCCAGCACCUCUACCCCGGCGUUGGCUCAUUUCCAGAACUUUUCAGGUCCUUGUUGGUCCCGGUGCUUGGCUUAAAAAGGAGAUGGCAGAUACCCAUGUCAUCGCACAUUCCAAUUUUAGUCUUACGCAGGUUUCUGCAAGCUGUGUUUCAUCCCGAAUGCUGAAAACCCUUGAUGUAAAGAAGAUGAUGUGAGGUCACCUGGGUUAUGAUGAGACGCUUGUGUUUUCAGGAACUCCAUGUUUAAGUUACAAGUUUCUCGUAAUGUAUAAAAGACUAUUUUGAGACUGUGAACGAUGUUGCCCUUGGAGACAGUGGGUUCAAGGCCCCUCCCAAAAAUACUGUUGACAUGAAGACUCCGUCUAGCCAACCAGAGGAAGAGCAGUGCAAUAUUUCUGCACAUGCCAGCUUACCAUAGACCCGGCCCUGUCCACUGAUGGAAGAAGUCCUGUUAGCGUUUUGCAUACAGACAUUUUUAUGUAAAGACGUUGAUGCGAGGUCCUUUGGGUCAUCACAUGAUGCUGGUGUUAAACAAAAACUUUUGACCACUAUUAGUGAGAGAUUGCAGUUUCCGUGCUCAGGCGACAUCUCCUGUUACACCAAUGACUACUGUGUGUUAUCCUCGUGUCAGCAGAAUAAGCUACUAAGCCUGUAAAUGUCUGUCAACGAAUUCACAUGCUGACAGUGUAGAGGGGCAGGUCAUGCAAGCUGAGGGGAAUGAGGCAGGCGUUUCCGGAAUAGCAGCUAACACCGCCAACCCAUCUGUGAAGAUCUGCAGAGCUCUCCCUGGUCGAGGCUAUUGCAAGUGCACUGCAAUUAACAUUGGCCGAGGAACCAAAAUAUAUACAUAUUCACAAUGCAGAGAGGCCGCACCUUUCAUGACGUUUAACCUAGAGUUCUUCACGGGGACCUCCAGCAGUGACGUCAGUGUUGAUGAUGUAUUUUGCCAGCAAUGGAAACUGUUAAAUGAAAUGAACAUUAACUGAUAUCACACACUCAUUUUGUUCAUUGGCACACCAUAGAACUGUGUUAUUUUCUCCUCUGAACUGUGUUAUUGUAAACUGUUUUCAAUUGUUUUGCAAUGAUUAUUAUUGAUUUACAUUUAUGUAUAAACAAGUCACUGAGUAUUGCUAGCAAUACAACAGUUCCCCUCCGGUAAUCAAAAGUACAAAAAAGUACUAAACACUUGUUUUAAAUGAUGUGCAUAGUUUGCUUUUGGCCGGCCCCUAAAAACAAUGUUUAAUAUACCUGGCUUGCGUACUUCUUGAGUUAUCACAGAAUAAUUGUUCACGAGCAAACGGAGACAUUGAAACUAUUUAAUCAUCAUGGAAACCUGACAUGCAUAAUCUCACUAUUCUCACAAAUUUUAUAUACCUAGCUUACAUACUCGGAGUGAUCACAGGAUCCAUUAUUAUUGAUAGACAGAAAUACAUUCACACUAUUUUGUUGCCAUAGCAACCACAUUUCUCUGCGUCAAAUAAGUACUUUUCUAUUUCCCGAGUUUCAUGAAUGUAGCUUUUUAAACUUGGAGUUACAACAAAUGCAGUCAAAAAUGUGUUUUCAUUUUUUUUGUUGCCAUAGUAACCACAAUUGUCCAUUCAUGUACCAAGUCUCAUUCACCAAGCUUGCAUAUUACUUGUGUGACACCAGGUUAUUCAGACGGUGAAACCAUUAAUUCGUACUCAUUAUAUCAACAACAAAAAUGCUACACAUGUUUUACGUAAUUUUAUUGUGUAUCGCAUUAAAUGCAGUUUUAUUAUAGUUACACACAUAUAAGAAAAAAGAUCAGUUUUAAUGACGUAUUAUACCUGGCAAUAAGGUACCUAUGUCAACAAAGCUGUUGGUUCGCAAAUAAACACCUGAUCUUCAAUGAAGUCAAUCAUGUGGUACCGUACGUCAUUAAAUUGUGUUAAACAUGAUCUGUAUAUGAUAAAAAAAUCACAUGAUCUGCUGGUUAAAUGGCACGUGUGUAUCAGGUGAUAGAUUUGUUGUAUACGUCAUUA